CUUUAUUCACCAAAAAACUCCACUCCUAAAAUCUCUCCAACAAACAAAUCUAAUAUCUGCAUUAUAUAUCUCUCCCCACAACUGCAUCUUUUAUCAGCCGUUUCAUAUUUUCCAGUGCAGUUUUCUUCCCUUCCAACAAAGUUGAGAGGAAAACAAUUGAGCAGCCUAUGAAAUAACCAUCCCUCUGCAAUCUCAAAUUGUUCUCUUCAUUCCAAAGGGUGAACUUGUGCACGUUGUUGCGGUUUGGAACAAGAAAGUGUUGAGGAGUUAAGCUUUUGAGAUUGAGCGGCGAUGGACGAGGAGGAUGUUGAGUAGAGUUCAUGGAUUGUUUUGUCAUGAUUAAUAAUUGUUGGUUUUGUCGUGUCUUCAUACUCGGCAUUUUCCGUGUCUUGAACGCUUCCGCUAAGAGUCCUUUUCUUUAGAAAUUGUUUAUUCGUGGAGAGUCUAACUCGUUUGAAAAUUGUUUAUUUUCCAUUCUUUAUUUACUUAGAGUUGGUAUUAUUGUUAGGAUAAUAUUAUGACGUUUUCAAGGUUAAUUCAGUUCUUAAAUUUUGGUCAAAUGUGUAUUUUUUCCCCUUUCUUCCCCGCUUCUUUAAUCCCCCCUAGUCGCGAUCAACCGUGUUUUCUAUCCUUAGAAAAUGCGGGCGUGACACUAGUCACGGGUUGGCGAAUGUGCAUAGACUACCGCAAGUUAAACAACGCAACCAGAAAGGACCAUUUCCCUUUGCCUUUCAUCGACCACAUGUUGGAGCGACUAGAUGGAAUGAAGUACUUUUGUUUUCUAGAUGGG